UGUUCGAGCGUCAUUUAAACCAAUCCAGCUUGCUGGGUCUUGGGCUUUCGCCUCUGGGCGGGCCUCAAAAUCAGUGGCGGUGCUGCCAGGCUCUAAGCGUAGUAAUUCUUCUCGCUACAGGGUUCUAGUGGAAACUUGCCAACAACCCCAAAUUUUCAAAGGUUGACCUCGGAUCAGGUAGGGAUACCCGCUGAACUUAA
rnacentral:misc_RNA from 1 species